rnacentral:lncRNA from 1 species
ACUUUCACAUGUGAGGACAUGGUGAGAAGACAGCAAUCUGUGAACCAGACAGCAGGCCCUCACCAGGCACCAAAUCAACUGAUGCCUUGACCUUGGACUUCUCAGCCUCCAGAACUGUGAGCUAUACAUUGCUGUUGUUUAUAAUCACCCAGUCUAUGGCAGUUUUUAUAGCAGCUUGAAAGGACUAAGAGAAUUACUUUUAUCUCUUCCCCCCACCCACAUACAUGCUAAGGAAGGCCUUGUACUGGUUUUAGAGCCCUGGACGGAGCUCCAGGUGACAUGGGCCUUCCUGGUUCUACCACCGACCUGCUGGGGGUUUCAGCAAGCCUUCACCUUCCACGUUGGCGUUCUCAGCUCUAAGAAAAGGAAGUUGAUUUCCAUGAGAGGUGAUCAAACUGUGCUGUAGAAACCUCAGCGAUUCCACAGAACAUUAGAGUACCUCUGCCAAGCAGAAUUCUCCACAUGGAGAAACCUCCCCUCUUACUGAUUUUAUAUGCCAUGCAUGUCAACGCUCUGGGGAAGAUUUUUUGCUUGAGAAAAAAAAAAAAUUCUUGCUGAUUAAAGAAAAACAACCCUGGAAAGUGCUGAAUAUGGUAUCUAUGCAUUUAUUAUGGAAAUCUAGAUAGUUUGCACUGAGAUCAUAGAUGGUUCUCAUAGAAUGGGACUAGGAGGAUUCAAGGAAAGAAGACCUGCUUCCUGUUUCCCAGCCCGUAAACCCUUGCUGUUGUUUUCAAGAUUUUUAUGAUCCUUUCUGGGCUGUGAUGAGAGGGCCUGGCAGGGGAGCCGGCUGCCUCCUUAUCGAAGACUCCCUGCCUCAGUGCCUAGAGCCAGGCUCAGCCCUGGUGAGGAGGGACAAUCCUGGCUGGGUAGGUCAGGCAGCUAAAAGUUGGGGGUCAGGUCCCCUACUUCAGCGGUCCCUAACCUUUUUGGCAUCAGGGAAGACAAAAAUCGGAAGACAAUUUUUCCACAAACUGGAGAUGGAGGGAUGGUUUCGGGAUGACUCAAGCACAUUACAUUUUUGGUGCACUUUAUUUCUAUUAUUAUUACGUUGUAAUAUAUAAUGAAAUAAUGAUCUAACUCACCAUAAUGUAGAAUCAGUGGGAGCCCUGAGCUUGUUUGCCUGCAACUAGAUGGUCCCACCUUCAGGGGAUGAGAGACAGUGAUAGAUCGUCAGGCAUUAGAUUCUCAUAAGGAGCACACAACCAAGAUCUCUUGAAUGAGCAAGGGCUCGCAUGCACAAUGGGGCUCGCACUCCUGUGAGAAUCUAAUGCUGCCGCUGAUCUGACAGGAGGUGAAGCUCAGGCAGUAGUGCCAGCAAUGGGGAGUGGCUGUAAAUACAGAUGAAGCUUUACUGGCCUGCUGCUCACCUUCUGCUGUG